rnacentral:rRNA from 1 species
UACAGAGGUCUCAAGCGUUGUUCGGAUUCAUUGGGCGUAAAGGGUGCGUAGGUGGCGCUGUAAGUCGGGUGUGAAAUUUCGGAGCUUAACUCCGAAACUGCAUUCGAUACUGCCGGUGCUUGAGGACUGGAGAGGAGACUGGAAUUUACGGUGUAGCGGUGAAAUGCGUAGAUAUCGUAAGGAAGACCAGUGGCGAAGGCGGGUCUCUGGACAGUUCCUGACGCUGAGGCACGAAGGCCAGGGGAGCAAACGGG